GGGGGGAUGCUUACCAUGCAGUCGAGCGGUAAGGCCCUUUCGGGGGUACACGAGCGGCGAACGGGUGAGUAACACGUGAGUAAUCUGCCCUUCACUUCGGGAUAAGCCUCGGAAACGGGGUCUAAUACCGGAUACGACACUUCCUCGCAUGAGGUGGGUGUGGAAAGUUUUUCGGUGGGGGAUGUGCUCGCGGCCUAUCAGCUUGUUGGUGGGGUAAUGGCCUACCAAGGCUUCGACGGGUAGCCGGCCUGAGAGGGUGACCGGCCACACUGGGACUGAGACACGGCCCAGACUCCUACGGGAGGCAGCAGUGGGGAAUAUUGGACAAUGGGCGGAAGCCUGAUCCAGCAACGCCGCGUGAGGGAUGACGGCCUUCGGGUUGUAAACCUCUUUCAGUACCGACGAAGCGGAAGUGACGGUAGGUACAGAAGAAGCACCGGCCAACUACGUGCCAGCAGCCGCGGUAAUACGUAGGGUGCGAGCGUUGUCCGGAAUUAUUGGGCGUAAAGGGCUCGUAGGCGGUUUGUCGCGUCGGGAGUGAAAACACUGGGCUUAACUCAGUGCUUGCUUCCGAUACGGGCAGACUAGAGGCAUGCAGGGGAGAACGGAAUUCCUGGUGUAGCGGUGAAAUGCGCAGAUAUCAGGAGGAACACCGGUGGCGAAGGCGGUUCUCUGGGCAUGUCCUGACGCUGAGGAGCGAAAGUGUGGGGAGCGAACAGGAUUAGAUACCCUGGUAGUCCACACCGUAAACGUUGGGCGCUAGGUGUGGGGCCUAUUCCAUGGGUUCCGUGCCGCAGCUAACGCAUUAAGCGCCCCGCCUGGGG
rnacentral:rRNA from 1 species